UUUGAUAGUGAGUUUGGAGCAAAAGUUGUGCCUCCAAAGAGGAUAUUAAAGAUGUUGCCUGAGCUAUUUGACCAUCAAGAUCAAAAUGUUCGUGCAUCUUCUAAAGGACUUACUCUUGAGCUUUGUCGAUGGAUUGGAAAGGACCCUGUAAAAUCAAUAUUAUUUGAGAAAAUGAGGGAUACAAUGAAAAAAGAAUUGGAAGCCGAGCUUGUAAAUGUAACAGGGGCAGCUAGGCCAUGUCGCAAAAUAAGGUGAAAAUUCAUUUUUUUCAUUAGCUGUUUGAUCUGCUUGCUGUUUUUAUUUUUCUUAACCUAGUUGGUAUUGAUGUAUUCAGGUCUGAGCAAGACAAGGAGCCAGAAAAGGAGGUUGUAUCUGAAGUUGUGGGUGCUGGCCCAUAUGAGGAAUCUACAUCUGAUGCUCCUCAGGAAAUAGAUGAGUAUGAGCUCGUUGAUCCUGUUGAUAUAUUGGCUCCUUUGGAGAAGUCUGGAUUUUGGGAUGGAGUGAAAGCAACCAAGUGGUCAGAACGGAAAGAGGUUGUUGCAGAGCUAACCAAGCUUGCUUCAACAAAAAGAAUAGCACCCGGUGAUUUCUCAUAAAUCUGUCGGACACUAAAAAAAUGUACAUUGUCUUUUUAUUUUUGGGUAUUUCGUUUGCAUCGUUUAUACCUCUAUCUAUUGCCAAGGAUCUUUUUAAUAUUGCAUAGUUAAGUGUUCAAUCUGCUCCAUUAAGUUUUAACUUCAUGCUUUAUAUUCUUACUUCUGUUAUAAGUUUAUACUUGCUUUUUGAGUUGAUGAAUAAAAAUCAUUUAAUUCUUUUUCUGUAUAGCUCAUAACAGAUGUUAAUAUCGCUGUAGCAGUCGAGGCAAUUCAAGCUAUUGGCAAUCUUGCUCGAGGUUUAAGAACUAAUUUCUCUUCAAGUUCACGCUUCCUAUUGCCAGUUUUGCUGGUAUGUUCAUUUUUUGCUAGCUAAAAAAAUAAUAUUAUAUCAACUUAAAAUGCAAACAGACUGUUUGAAUGUAACCAAGCUGUUCAAGUGUUCAUUUACUUUUUGCCAGUUACUUACAACUGAGCAUGGUGGUAUUUUUUUUUUGGAUUUUGACUUGUACAUUCAUUUUUCUUAUUAAUAAAAGUGCACUUAGUCAUACGAGUAGAUUCUUUUUUAGAAGUUCAAAUGAUGUUGAUCGUAGCUUUGAUUUGUAUAUAAAGUGAUUUUUUUAUUCAA